rnacentral:rRNA from 1 species
CACGCAGUAAACGAUGAAUACUAGCUGUAUGCGAUAUACUGUAUGUGGCAAAGCGAAAGCGUUAAGUAUUCCACCUGGGGAGUACGUUCGCAAGAAUGAAACUCAAAGGAAUUGACGGGGGCCCGCACAAGCGGAGGAACAUGUGGUUUAAUUCGAUGAUACGCGAGGAACCUUACCCGGGCUUGAAAUGCAGACGACCGACGGAGAAAUUCGUUUUCCAGCAAUGGCGUCUGUGUAGGUGC